rnacentral:rRNA from 1 species
UACGGAGGAUGCAAGCGUUAUCCGGAUUCAUUGGGUUUAAAGGGUGCGCAGGCGGGAAAGUAAGUCAGUGGUGAAAAACUGCCGCUCAACGGUAGUCGUGCCAUUGAUACUGCUUUUCUUGAGUUUGGAUGAGGUAGGCGGAAUGUGCAGUGUAGCGGUGAAAUGCAUAGAUAUUGCACAGAACACCAAUUGCGAAGGCAGCUUACUAAUCCACGACUGACGCUGAGGCACGAAAGCGUGGGGAGCGAACAGGAUUAGAUACCCUGGUAGUCCACGCCGUAAACGAUGUUCACUCGCUGUUUGCGAUAUACUGUAAGCGGCUGAGCGAAAGCAUUAAGUGAACCACCUGGGGAGUACGAUCGCAAGGUUGAA